rnacentral:misc_RNA from 1 species
ACAUAACUGCAUAAUCUAUUUCGUCAAACCAUGGCUGCCAUCAUCUGUAAUUGUAGGUUAUGCUCCCCUUCUUUCUAGUGGUUUCGUAAAUUUCUUCACAUUUUCAAAGCCCAAUAUACGUUAGAGAAAGAGGGAACGAUGGAUCCUUCAAGCGAACUCCAGAAAGAAAUAGAACGACUCAGCAGCGAACUUACCGAGACAGUUCGCGAAAAACUCCAGGCGGCCGAGUACGGUCUGGCAGUUUUGGAAGAGAAACAGCAACUGCAGGCCCAGUAUGAUGACUUGGAGUCCCAGUUGGAGGCCGCUAAGGCAGAACUGGAAUGUGCAAGAGAGGCUCUUGCUAAACAUCAUGUGGACCUUCGAAGGCACCAGCAGACAGGAGUGCAUAAUGAAGAGCGAUUUUUGGAGGAGACGGCUCAGAGGGAGGAAAACUAUCAGGCAUCAAUUACAGAUCUUGAAGCAGAAAUAAAGAUAGCCAAUGCAGCCAAAGAGCGACUGAAUAGUGAAAAUGAAAGGCUUUUAUCCAAUGUGAAUGAGCUUACUCAUCAGGUGGAGCUUCUUGAAGUCCAGCGCCAACAACUUAAGCAUGAAAACCGUGAAUACAAGAUUAGAGAAAAUCGAAAUCUGAGUGAUUAUGCAGAACUUGAGGAGGAAAACAUUUCGCUUCAGAAAACUGUUUCUCAGCUAAAGAUCAGCCAGGUUGAGCUGGAGGCAUUGAAGCAUGAAACAAAGCGGCUUCAAGAAGAGACUGAGGAUCUGCACAUGCAGGUAGAAGAAAUGACCAACCUGCGGCGCAUCGUUGAAAAAAAUCUAGAGGAAGCUCUUGGUUCCCUUCAGCAAGAACGUGAACAGAAGCAUGCUCUCAAGAAGGAACUUGACCAGCGUCUAACUCGCGAGUCUAUGUUUAAUUUGAGCAGUCUGGCUCAGUUUAGCGGACUGUCAGAAGGUCUCUCCUUUUCAUAUUGCAGCCACGAGUCAUCACAGGAUUCAGGGGCUGAAGAAGAUGGAGAGGGGCAGGAUCAUGCCCACCCAGCCUUGAAACGAAUCGAAGCUGAUUUUGCAUUCAUGAGAAAGGAUGGCGAAGCCCCUGCUACGCCUCGCUUAGGGGUUGUUGGAGACAUCCUUAGUGAGAUUCAGGUAACAGAAGUGGGAAAACUGGAAUCUAUGUUGCAACAAUCAGAAGAAGAGAAGUUAGAACUGCAGAAGGCACUUGAUGAAGCCCGCAAAUUGAUUCAAGACACACAGCUGGAUCUUACUGAGCAAAAGAAGCGAGCUGAUCAGCUGAAAUCCUACAUAGGGUCACUUUCCAGCCUCAGGGAAUCAUGUUCAAGGCUUCCAAAUGACCUAGAAGUAUCAUUUGAUGAGAGCCUUCUUCGGGAAAUAGAAGAAGAGCCAGAUCCUGACAGAAGAGCCCUCUUGCAGUUGCGGAACAAUUGGCAUUUAAGAGACAAAAAGUACAAGACAGCUUUGAAUGAAAUUGGCAGCUUGCAGGCGGAAAUACUAAGGCUUCAGGCAUGCACAACAGCACUCGAUCAGGGAGCGGAGUUUAAAGAGGCAUUAGAAGAGCUGCAGAGCAAAUGUAUGCUCUAUGAACAGACGAUUAGAGAACAAGAACAAGAUUUAAAAGCAAUGACAGAAGCAGCUGAACAUGCUCAGGGCAGUAUGAAUACCACAAGGGGUGAGUUAGUGCACAUCACAGAAGAAUUGGCUCAGCUUUACCACCUGGUUUGUGAGCUCAGCCGAGAAACACCAUCCAGAGUUAUGCUAGACCAUGCAAAGUCUUCUGUUGAGAUGGUCCAGCCUGCAGAUAGUGAACGAGAGAGCAGUGAGGAACCUGCAACACCACAAGGAGAGACUAAACCAGUUAUAGACUUAGACAUUGUCUCAACAACAUCCAAACUUAAAGCAAAAUCUCAUAGAAAUAAGAAGACAAUUCUCCAGGGAGGUGCGAAAGUCGAUCCUACAUCGUGUGAAAAACUUUCAGAAACAGUUGUUGAUCAGGUGAAAUUCUUGAAGCAAGCUGUUGACCACCUGAUGGAAAUUUCGAAGACAUGGAAUCGUGAUGGUACUAAUGAAGCUGGUGACAGCGGGGAGGACAUUGCAGAGCUGCAGGACCAAGUGGUGAAGCUCAAGGCAAUGUUGUCCACAAAGAGGGAACAGAUAGCCACACUUCGUUCAGUCCUUAAAGCCAACAAGUCCACUGCUGAAGUUGCCUUGGCAAACCUCAAACAGAAGUAUGAAAAUGAAAAAGUUAUCGUCACUGAAACAAUGCUGAAGCUGCGAAAUGAGCUCAAAUCGCUGAAAGAAGAUGCAGCCACAUUUGCCUCAUUGCGUGCCAUGUUUGCUCAACGAUGUGAUGAGUAUGUGACACAGCUGGAUGAAAGCCAGAGACAACUCGCAGCAGCAGAGGAGGAGAAGAAGACGCUCAACUCAUUGCUGCGUAUGGCCAUUCACCAGAAAUUAGCCCUCACCCAGCGCCUUGAGGACCUUGAGUUUGAUCGAGAGAGGCGUAACAUGACACGCCGUCCAGGCGGACGCGGGGCAGGCAAGAUAACCAACUCCAAAGUAAGUCACAACUACCAGUCUUCCUCUGACGACUAUGGUGGUUUCCAACGAAAGGGCUACCAUAACUUCCGCCGCGACUAUUAGAGUAGGGGAGGCUGGGGCCGUGCUGAGCUUUUUUGCCAAUGCUGGGGGAUAAACAAGCUGAUGUCCUGCAGUCCUGGCAGCUGCAGUAGCCAGCCCAUGACCACUAGCAUCACAGAAGACCGCAUGUGAAGAGAGGCAGCAGAGUCAUGCUGGCAGAACCCACGAAGUGAUAAACAUUACUUUGUGACUUAAAUGGAUAACACAAAAGCCGUGAUGUACAAUUAGCCCCAGUUUUUCUCUGCUCGGCUUUCCUGCCUCACUUUGUUAUCAUAUUCCACAAUGGUCUUUCGUGUACUGUAUUUGCCUUGCUGAAUCUCGCUCUGUUUACGUCACACAACCCAAGUAUCUUUGUUUAAAUUUUCUAAUCUGGAAUUAUAAGUUUUCUUUUUAAAGUAGUGAAAGUGAGCAUCACAUCAAAAUAUUUGAAUCAGUGAUGAGUUAUUUCCUUACAAGUGGAAAGGGUUAGUGGUCAUUGUUUUUUGUCACCACUCAAGGUAAGGAAGAAGGAGCUACCUCUUCUGUUCGUAGUGCCAUUUAUUUGUUCACACUUCAGUGACUGAGUACAAGGCCAUGGUGCUUUGGUGAAGAAUAGACUCAGUUGUUAGACUUGGGUGUCUGCAGAAGUAUCCCAAGCACUACAGAGGUCCUUGGCUGAUGCACCUCCAACCUAUGAUUGGUUCAAAGCCUCUGUCCUUACAGAUGCUAACUGGUCAUCCCAGGAAUGGUUCUCUUUUGCCUCAUAUUGGGGCUAAGCACAUUUUUGCAGAAUGAAAGGCUAGAAGUUUAGUUUCAUUUUUUUGUGAGGACAAUACACAUGAAAUAUGGAAGUCUUGCUUGAAGAGUUGCAGUAGUUUACUGCACAGGCUGUUGAUGCAAUCUGUAAAGGAUGCAGAACACGGUAGCUUCAUGGCUGUGUUGGUGCAGCAUCAGCAUGUUUAAAGUUUGUGAUUCCUUCACUUAAAUGGUUCAUUCCUCAGCAAGCAAAUCCCAUUCUGGGAGAAGAGGCAGAAGAGAGAGUAAUAAAAAGAUUUGUCAAGUGUGCUUGGAGUUCUGACCAGUUGCGCAUUUAGCUUGUUCAUCAAAUUGUAUACCAGGACCUGUAAUUUGUAUGAUUUUUCUUUUUAUCACUGAGGGAUGGAGAUGUCAUAAUCGCUAACUGGAAAUGGUAAGUCUUAUUUACAUGUGUAUCUGUAAGUUAUUCUGUGAUAUUAUUGAUGUACGCUUGGUGGCUGACCAGAAAUGCUUGAAUGAAUUUUACACCUUGGAUAUGCUGGGUAGAAGGUCUUGGGUUUUUUUUAAAAAAAGGUAGUUGUAUAAAUACAUGGUCAGUAAUGGUGGCAUAGAAUGCUUUUGCUUUAGUCCACACUGUUUGUGGUGGCAAGGACAAUUUGUUGAGCACAAAUUGAAUUUCUUUAGGGUUUUUUAGGUGAUUAAAUCAUGUCUAAGAACAUAAAUAUUUACACUAGUCACGAAUGUAUAGCUUUUCAAGAAGAGUGUUUAGAAUGCAUGCGUGAUUUACAAAGUUAUGUACAGGAAUGUUUACAUUUAGGCAGUAGCAAGCUGGACUUUCGUAAGAAUUCACUGACCAUCACCUUCAGAAGUUUGCACUUGGUCUCAGGUUUGAAGCUGCAUAGCGGUGGUCAGUUUUGGUGGGAUCAGUCAUGCUUUAUGACCGCUUAGUGGAGGCUUUCGCUCUUUCUUUUCAGUUUUAAUGUGCAAUGAACUUCAGCUUGUUAUAAAAAUAUAUUAAGCGAAUUAGACAUUACAAGCAUGUGAUUACAAGCAAGAGCAUCAUGGUUUGUACUGAAAGAUCUGUAUGACACAGGGUUUCAUUUGUUUGCAUUCACAAUUUAUUUAUUUUUGUAUGGGGGAAUGUAAGAUUGAAAUGCGCUAUUAUUUUUAUCUGUGAUGUUGAAAGAACUCUGUAAGAGCCAACGGUAUGGUGAUUUUUUUUUUAGGCCAUGUAUGCUGUUUGUAUUUGCUCGGCAGUUAUUGGGAAUGCCGUGCUCCUAUGUUUGACUGUUUGAUCAAGCUUUGGGUACUGUCCCACAGAAACGUCAUUUCGUACAAUCCCUAAUGAUUAAGCUUUUGCAGGCACCAUUAAAUGCAUUUUUAAAACUUU